GGAUGUGAGGGCGGCCUGGCUGCAACCUCUGUCACCCCACUGAUCGCCAGGGUUGAUUCGGCUGACCUGGCUAGCUAGGCAGGUGUCCCCUUCCUCCCUCACCGCUCCAUGUGCAUCUCUCCUGAAGCUGCACACUCAGUCAAAGAGGACAGCCUUCCCCGAAUAGAGACGGACCGGUCUUCGGUCGAGGGUAUAUGAGUAGCUGCGCUCCCCUGCUAGGACCUCCAAGCAAGCUCUCAAGAAGUCAUGAAACAGAGAAUGCAUGGCAUAAUACUCGACAAUGAAAAUGAUAGUACUGUAUCCUUUGGAACAAAAUGGGUGAAACU
ensembl:misc_RNA 7SK 7SK RNA